UUUAUAGGCAAAGAAACUGUGCCUCUGUGAGGUGGACUAAUUAGAACUUAAGCCUCUACACCUUAACCUGGGACUUUUUUUUAAUACAUUUUGUUCAAGUUCAUUUAAAAAAAGUUGUAUCAUUUCUAUAUAUUUAAUAUCUUGAUGGAUGUAAUGGGACUGGGACAAGGACCACAGAAGCAAGCUUUCUUUUGUUUUUAAGAAUAGGGAAAAUCUGUACUACAGACAGAAAACAAGAGGAAAGACUGAAGGUCCUCUCUGCAGAAGCAGGACACAAGCUGAGACUGUGAAACACCCAGGAGUCGGCUCUCUGCCCUCUUUCUCUACCUAGCAUGCAUGAGAAAAUCACUGAUAUCAGUACUUCCAGACCUGAUGCACCAGCUUCUCCUUACCCAGACCAACAAAGGACUGGACACUUGUCCAUUCAAGCAUCCAAGAUGUACCCUCCUGGACUGAAUAUGAACGCCUGCAAAUAUGAUGUCCCUCUUCUGUGAAUAAGCCUGAAGGAUGGCAAGAAACACGCCAAGUCCAGUGACGCCACUGCCUCAGCCAACCUCCAGAAGCAGAGCUCUCCUGCUCACUGUAGCUGAUCAUGGGUAUAUUAAUGUGUCUGAUCAUGAUUAGAAGAGGUACCCAGAGAAGCACAUCACAAAUGGCCCAUCUGCAGAUUCAUGGGCUGAAUAAAUAUUUACUAUCUUAACCCACUA